UUUUGCUGUCGAUGGUUCUACUUGGUACUGAUUGACAUACAUACAUUGUUGGAACGUGAAACAUGUAGUCAAGGAACAAUCUUUGCAACGAACAAUAGUGCAUAUGUAGAGUGCACCCUUUCCAUUCUGGUGUGUUAAAUAUAGGUUCUUAACAGAUGUCUCUUUGUCAUAAUGUGGAUAUUUGAACAUGCGAUGGCUGUAUGAUAUAUGUGUAAGCUGUGUUCAAAUAAUACCUCGCUGUCUGGGGAUCAGCGCCGGCUCAGGGUUCCUGAAGGGGAUCGUCGCCGGAUCAUGGACGUGACCUCAAAGGGUUCAGCGGCGGAUCAGGGGAUUGGCAUGAGGCUCUAGAAGGGGAUCACCGCCUCCAUCCUGAAUGUGAUCGGCGGUGGGUUCUAAACGGAUCGGCGACGUCUCCUCAAGCGGAUCUUGAUGUGUGAGGGCGGCAACGAAGGGAUGGAGGGCGGCCGCGAACGAGGGCAGUGAGUCGGGCGUAGUCAGGCGUGCGAGUGGAGGACAGGAGAGUCGUGCGUGCGAUUGGUUUAGGUUUUUUUUUGCUGGUUAAUUUUUGUAUGUUUUUUUUCAUUGGUUAAUUUUCAUAGGUUCUUUUUCCUUCGCUUGUAGAUGGGUGCGACGGGAGGUGCGGCCCUGUACUGCAUGGGGGCAUCGGGACGUGUUUUUUUGGGUUUGACGCGGCUAACAGUGAGGUGGGAUGAGGGACGAAAAAAAACCAUGAUAGGAGUAAGAAGUCAGUUGGAGUGAGAAGUGAGACAAGUACAAUGAGCUCAAGUGAUUCAUUCACCAAGCUGGUAAACGCAUAAACUUCAAAAAAAUCAUCUCAAUAAGUUUUGGUUGGCUGAUAGCUUGCAAGAUCUUCAUAUUCUACAUAGAAGGUGCAGUGUGAUGUGAUGCAUAUGGAACUGGUAUUACUUUGCAGUAUGGAACUGGCGGUGGGUGUAUGAAAUGUGAUGGCUGUAACAUUAUACCUAAUUUCUUAUCAGUUCAUGAUA